AAAGAAAUAGUUCAAAAAGAACAAAAGUGUGUGGAACUUUAGGUGCUAAUAGCUUUCUUUA
rnacentral:tRNA from 1 species